rnacentral:rRNA from 1 species
AGCGAACGCUGGCGGCAGGCCUAACACAUACAAGUCGAACGGACCCUUCGGGGUUAGUGGCGGACGGGUGAGUAACACGUGGGAACGUGCCUUUAGGUUCGGAAUAGCUCCUGGAAACGGGUGGUAAUGCCGAAUGUGCCCUUCGGGGGAAAGAUUUAUCGCCUUUAGAGCGGCCCGCGCCUGAUUAGCUAGUUGGUGAGGUAAUGGCUCACCAAGGCUACGAUCAGUAGCUGGUCUGAGAGGAUGACCAGCCACAUUGGGACUGAGACACGGCCCAAACUCCUACGGGAGGCAGCAGUGGGGAAUCUUGCGCAAUGGGCGAAAGCCUGACGCAGCCAUGCCGCGUGGAUGAUGAAGGUCUUAGGAUUGUAAAAUCCUUUCACCGGUGAAGAUAAUGACUGUAGCCGGAGAAGAAGCCCCGGCUAACUUCGUGCCAGCCGCCGCCGUAAUAC